CUUAUUAGAUAAAUAAUGAUAUACCUACGUCCAAGGCAUAAAUGAAAAAUGUGAAGAAAUAAUUUUGUUGGUAUAAAAAAUAGGUGCAAAUAGCAGAAAAAAGCUAGCAAUUUACAACAGAAAUUAUGAGAAACGGAUUAUGAGAAAAAAAUUCGACGAACAAAAUUCAGCGUAAAACACGACAAUCGGAAAAAACGAUUGAUUAAAUGCAGCUGUGUGCCACUAAUGAAAUUUGGGUAGAAAAGCUGCAGUUAUAUUGAGCUUAUAACUUAACGGAUAAUUAAGCAAACAACAAUAUCAACGUUUAAAGAAUUAAGUUGAUGGAAAAAGUGCAACAAAUAGUGUAACCUUAACCCAACAUUAGCAGCAAGUAAAAAUAUAGUGUACUCUUAGUAAACAUCAACAGGAAAACACCAAAAACUCCAACAGGAUGUCUGAAACGCAAGACAACAACGGUGAUCAGCCGCUGCAGGACGAGGUUGGCGGCAGUGAGAAUAAAAUGAAAUCACGCCUACGUAAAGGCGCGCUAAAGAAGAAAAAUAUUUUCGCCGUUAAAGAUCAUUGCUUUAUACCGCGUUUCUUCAAGCAGCCAACAUUCUGUUCGCAUUGCAAGGAUUUUAUUUGG